GACGAACGCUGGCGGCGCGCCUAACACAUGCAAGUCGAACGAGAGAGAAGGAGCUUGCUUCUUCGAUCGAGUGGCGAACGGGUGAGUAACGCGUGGGGAACCUGCCUCGAAGAGGGGGACAACAGUUGGAAACGACUGCUAAUACCGCAUAAGCCCACAGGUCGGCAUCGACCAGAGGGAAAAGGAGUAAUCCGCUUUGAGAUGGCCCCGCGUCCGAUUAGCUAGUUGGUGAGGUAAUGGCCCACCAAGGCGACGAUCGGUAGCCGGACUGAGAGGUUGAACGGCCACAUUGGGACUGAGACACGGCCCAGACUCCUACGGGAGGCAGCAGUGGGGAAUAUUGCACAAUGGGGGAAACCCUGAUGCAGCGACGCCGCGUGGAGGAAGAAGGUCUUCGGAUUGUAAACUCCUGUUGUUGAGGAAGAUAAUGACG
rnacentral:rRNA from 1 species